AACGAACGCUGGCGGCAUGCCUAACACAUGCAAGUCGAACGAGACCUUCGGGUCUAGUGGCGCACGGGUGCGUAACGCGUGGGAACCUGCCCUUAGGUUCGGAAUAACUCCCCGAAAGGGGUGCUAAUACCGGAUAAUGUCUUCGGACCAAAGAUUUAUCGCCUUUGGAUGGGCCCGCGUUGGAUUAGCUAGUUGGUAGGGUAAAAGCCUACCAAGGCGACGAUCCAUAGCUGGUCUGAGAGGAUGAUCAGCCAAACUGGGACUGAGACACGGCCCAGACUCCUACGGGAGGCAGCAGUGGGGAAUAUUGGACAAUGGGCGAAAGCCUGAUCCAGCAAUGCCGCGGGAGUGAUGAAGGCCUUAGGGUUGUAAAGCUCUUUUACCCGGGAUGAAAUGACAGUACCGGGAGAAUAAGCUCCGGCUAACUCCGUG
rnacentral:rRNA from 1 species